AGAGAGAGACAUGCGCGCAUAUCAAUAAGCGGAGGAAAAGAAACUAACAAGGAUUCCCCUAGUAACGGCGAGUGAAGCGGGAAGAGCUCAAAUUUGAAAUCUUAAAGGGUUUCCCUUUACGAAUUGUAGUUUAAAGAAGUGUUUUCUGUUGAGGUUUUGGUAAAAGUUCUUUGGAAUAGGACAUCAUAGAGGGUGAGAAUCCCGUAUUUGACCUUUACUUUCAACUUUGUGAUACACUUUCAAAGAGUCGGAUUGUUUGGGAAUGCAGUCCAAAAUGGGUGGUAAAUUUCAUCUAAAGCUAAAUAUUGGCGAGAGACCGAUAGCGAACAAGUACCGUGAGGGAAAGAUGAAAAGAACUUUGAAAAGAGAGUUAAACAGUACGUGAAAUUGUCAAAAGGGAAGCGUUUGACACCAGUGUUGUUUUUCUGAAAAUCAAUUAAAGAACUGUUUAUGCUAAGUUGUUUAGACUUUAUCAGCUAACUGUUUAGUUUUGAGCUUUUCUUUAAUGCACUUUUCAGUUAACAAGUCAACAUCAAUUCCUUUUGCUGUAAAAAAGCUUGAGGAAGGUGGCUUGAGAUUCGUCUUAAGUGUUUAUAGCCUCUUGCCUAUGCAGUCGGAGAGAUUGAGGUCUGCAGCGUAGAUCCUUCGGGGCUAAAUGCAUUUGUGCUAAGUUAUAGCAUUUUAUAGACAACUUGUUGACUAUGAUUUGUCUUGUAGCUUACUCGCUUAUGUUAUUUUACCUACGCUUAGGAUGUUGAGCGCAUGUCUCUCUCU
rnacentral:rRNA from 1 species